rnacentral:rRNA from 1 species
ACGGGUGAGUAACACGUAUCCAACCUGCCGUCUACUCUUGGCCAGCCUUCUGAAAGGAAGAUUAAUCCAGGAUGGCAUCAUGAGUUCACAUGUCCGCAUGAUUAAAGGUAUUUUCCGGUAGACGAUGGGGAUGCGUUCCAUUAGAUAGUAGGCGGGGUAACGGCCCACCUAGUCUUCGAUGGAUAGGGGUUCUGAGAGGAAGGUCCCCCACAUUGGAACUGAGACACGGUCCAA